AGUGAACGCUGGCGGUAGGCCUAACACAUGCAAGUCGAACGGCAGCACAGUAAGAGCUUGCUCUUACGGGUGGCGAGUGGCGGACGGGUGAGGAAUACAUCGGCAUCUACUUUUUCGUGGGGGAUAACGUAGGGAAACUUACGCUAAUACCGCAUACGACCUACGGGUGAAAGCAGGGGAUCUUCGGACCUUGCGCGAUUGAAUGAGACGAGGUCGGAUUAGCUAGUUGGCGGGGUAAAGGCCCACCAAGGCGACGCUCCGUAGCUAGUCUGAGAGGAUGAUCAGCCACACUGGAACUGAGACACGGUCCAGACUCCUACGGGAGGCAGCAGUGGGGAAUAUUGGACAAUGGGCGCAAGCCUGAUCCAGCCAUACCGCGUGGGUGAAGAAGGCCUUCGGGUUGUAAAGCCCUUUUGUUGGGAAAGAAAAGCAGCAGGUUAAUACCCCGCUGUUCUGACGGUACCCAAAGAAUAAGCACCGGCUAACUUAGUG
rnacentral:rRNA from 1 species